rnacentral:tRNA from 1 species
AAGACAGCUACACAAGACCUGCUAACUCUUGUCUCCACGUAUAAAAACGUGGCUCUCU